UCCGGUUGAUCCUGCCAGAGGUUACUGCUAUCGGAGUUCGAUUAAGCCAUGCGAGUCUAAAGGUUUCUUCGGAAACCUUGGCGGACUGCUCAGUAACACGUGGAUAACCUACCCUUGGGACUGGAAUAACCCCGGGAAACUGGGGAUAAUACCGGAUAGAUCAGGGAUGCUGGAAUGCGCCUUGAUCCAAAGCUCCGGCGCCCAAGGAUGGGUCUGCGGCCUAUCAGGUUGUAGUGGGUGUAACGUACCUACUAGCCGACGACGGGUACGGGUUGUGAGAGCAAGAGCCCGGAGAUGGAUUCUGAGACACGAAUCCAGGCCCUACGGGGUGCAGCAGGCGCGAAACCUUUACAAUGUGCGAAAGCAUGAUAAGGGAACUCCGAGUGCCAGUAUCUAAUACUGGCUGUCCUUGUGCCUAAAACGCACAAGAUAGCAAGGGCCGGGUAAGACCGGUGCCAGCCGCCGCGGUAACACCGGCGGCCCGAGUGGUAGCCGCUAUUAUUGGGUCUAAAGGGUCCGUAGCCGGUUCGAUAAGUCCUCUGGGAAAUCUGGUUGCUUAACAAUCAGACUGCCAAGGGAUACUGUCGAACUUGAGACCGGGAGAGGUAAGAGGUACUUCAGGGGUAGGAGUGAAAUCUUGUAAUCCCUGGGGGACCAUCUGUGGCGAAGGCGUCUUACCAGAACGGGUCUGACGGUGAGGGACGAAAGCUGGGGGCGCAAACCGGAUUAGAUACCCGGGUAGUCCCAGCCGUAAACGAUGCUCGCUAUGUGUCAGGUACGGUGUGACCGUAUCUGGUGCCGUAGGGAAGCCGUGAAGCGGGCCACCUGGGAAGUACGGUCGCAAGACUGAAACUUAAAGGAAUUGGCGGGGGAGCACUACAACGGGUGGAGCCUGCGGUUUAAUUGGAUUCAACGCCGGG
rnacentral:rRNA from 1 species